rnacentral:rRNA from 1 species
AAUGGAUGACACAUGUCAUUUAUUUGAAAGGGGCAAUUGCUCCACUACAAGAUGGACCUGCGUUGUAUUAGCUAGUAGGUGAGGUAACGGCUCACCUAGGCGACGAUACAUAGCCGACCUGAGAGGGUGAUCGGCCACACUGGGACUAAGACACGGCCCAGACUCCUACGGGAGGCAGCAGUAGGGAAUCUUCGGCAAUGGGGGCAACCCUGACCGAGCAACGCCGCGUGAGUGA